rnacentral:rRNA from 1 species
GAUGAACGCUGGCGGCGUGCCUAAUACAUGCAAGUCGAGCGAACAGACGAGGAGCUUGCUCCUCUGACGUUAGCGGCGGACGGGUGAGUAACACGUGGAUAACCUACCUAUAAGACUGGGAUAACUUCGGGAAACCGGAGCUAAUACCGGAUAAUAUAUUGAACCGCAUGGUUCAAUAGUGAAAGACGGUUUUGCUGUCACUUAUAGAUGGAUCCGCGCCGCAUUAGCUAGUUGGUAAGGUAACAGCUUACCAAGGCAACGAUGCGUAGCCGACCUGAGAGGAUGAUCGGCCACACUGGAACUGAGACACGGUCCAGACUCCUACGGGAGGCAGCAGUAGGGAAUCUUCCGCAAUGGGCGAAAGCCUGACGGAGCAACGCCGCGUGAGUGAUGAAGGUCUUCGGAUCGUAAAACUCUGUUAUUAGGGAAGAACAAAUGUGUAAGUAACUAUGCACGUCUUGACGGUACCUAAUCAGAAAGCCACGGCUAACUACGUG